GAUUUCUGGCUUGAAACAUUUUGCCGGCCGCGGUUUCGCGUGUUAGUGCUUGAUGUUCUGGCCAUCCUUCCAAUCGCUGUGUACCUUUCUUCAUUGAUUGGUGCAUGGUAUUGGAUCUUUUACUUUGAAAAAAUUAGAGUGUUUCAAGCAGGCAUGUUUUGCUAUGAAUACAUUAGCAUGGAAUAAUAAUCUAGGACUUUCGGUUCUAUUUUGUUGGUGUUCUGGAGCUGAAGUAAUGAUUGAUAGGGAUAGUUGGGGGUGCUAGUAUUCAAUGGCCAGAGGUGAAAUUCUCGGAUUCCUUGAAGACUAACUUAUGCGAAAGCAUU
rnacentral:rRNA from 1 species